CAAGUACUCCCUCCGUUCGGAAAUACUUGUCCUAGAAAUGGAUGUAUUAUAUUUCUAGGACAAGUAUUUUCGAACGGAGGGAGUAUCCG
rnacentral:pre_miRNA from 1 species